ensembl:lncRNA
CAAGGAAUUCAAAGACUAGGGAAGAGAGAAACAAAGAAACCACCAGCUUCAGUGUGGCGUGGUACAUGGAGAAAGGGAGAGGUGCCCAAGGGCUGACGGAAGCCAGGAAGAAGGCUCACCAAUUGGGGCGGCUUCUCCAUGGGACUUUGUGCAUCAGUGGGCUACAACUUGAGGGACAAGUCCGAGUCACUCAGACUUGAGAGUGGAUAACCCCAUGGUAUAGCGCACCUCCGAGAUGGCACCCGAUGAUCCAGACCUCCUGGAUCAGGGCCGUUCUGAGUGCCCAACAGAGAAGACAAGUGUGCGAACUCUGAGACUAGGUCACAAAAAGCAGUGCAGCAUCCUCCGCGCUCUGCUGGACUGCCUGCUCUAGGGGAGGUCAGUGUUUGGGCCAUUCGAACAGCCCUGUGAAGAGGCCCAAGUGAAGAGGCACCCGGGCCUCUGACCAAGAGCCAGUGCAACUCACCAGGCAGGUGAACGAGCCGUCUCAGCAGCGGGUCCUCCAGCCCAGUGGUGACUGCAACCCUGGCCAACGUCUUGACGGCAGCCUCGUGAGGGAACCUAAGGCGGAACCGAGAGUCAUAGUCCAAACUGAUAACGAGAAGACGAUAACCGCCGUCCAGUUCUCGGCUGCGGGCAUGGCCUGGAGGAAGAGAUUCCUGUAUCCAGCAGACCCAGACCGGUGGCCUCCUCUCCACCAUUCUCCUGAGACCAGAGCCUUUUUUUUUUUUUUCCAGAGUGCAAAAUGCUUCUUAUUAAAUACCUUGGUAAUGCAAAAACAAUUUGUUUUUAAACACAAGAAUCCACAAAGACAUCCAUUGCCAGCAGUGGACAUUGAAUAAAAUCGCCAGCUUGCGUGAAAGGCAACUAUAAAACUGUGCAUUUGGUUUCUGACCUUGUCCAGAUAACUCUGUUUAUUUGUGUAAACUCACUGUUGCUCCUGUAUGCAUCGUAGAAAAGUCUUCGUCCACAGUCUUGGAUUAUUCUAGAGUCUAAGGAAUGCAGAUCUUCUAGGGACGUUUUCAAGUCCUCUCUUACUUCUGGGUAUUUUGAGAAAUGUUGAAGCCAUUCUGACCACCAUCCCAAUUAGCCAUGAGAGCUUUCCUGGUGGAAAAUACCCAUUCUUCAUCUUCUGUCUUCAAAGCCAAGUAUCAUUGUACAGGCUCCCCUGGUGGCUCAGUGUAAAGAAUUCCCCCUGAAAUGCAGGAGCCACAGGUUCCAUCCCUUGGGUUGGGAAGAUCCCCUGGAGGAGGGCAUGGUAACCCACUCCAGUAUUCUUGCUGGGAAAUCCCGUGGAUAGAGGAGCCUGGUGGGCUACAGUCCAUGGGGUCGCCAAGAGUUGGACAUGACUGAAGCAACUUGGCACGCACGUGUGCACGCAUUGUUGUAAAACAAAUGGUCUGUGUUCUGCUCCACACACAUUUUUGGAGUUCUGGAAAUAUGCCAGGCACUAUGUUACGUGUUGGGAACAGAGGCAGGAGUAAGGUAAUGUUUGCCCCUAAGAGGUUGCUGUCUGGUAGCAGAGCCAGACCAAAACCAAAACACAAACCCAGACAGUGACAGAAGAAUCUGGGAAAAGAGAACCCAGAGGGAGACUUCACCCACCUUGGUGGGCUUCUUAGUCUCUGAAAGGAUGGCUUAGAGUUCACUGGGGAGGAUUUAAAAUAUUCCAUUUAUCUCUGUCUGAGAGUAUUUGGAAAUGUGAGCAGGCUGGACCCUUUGGUCACCUCCAGAGAUGCCUGUGGCCUUGCGGGUGGCUCCCAACUCACUAACUAGGACACAGGCUAAGGGCCAUGCAUUUGCUGUGGGUUCCUAGGCUAUUUGCCAG